rnacentral:rRNA from 1 species
GACGAACGCUGGCGGCGUGCUUAACACAUGCAAGUCGAACGAAGUGGCGAACGGGUGAGUAACGCGUAAUCAACCUGCCCUUCAGAGGGGGACAACAGUUGGAAACGACUGCUAAUACCGCAUACUGAAGGAGGGGAUUGCGUCGGAUUAGCUAGUUGGAGGGGUAACGGCCCACCAAGGCGAUGGUCAGUAGCCGGGCUGGGAGGAUGAACGGCCACAUUUGGACUGGGACACGGCCCAGACUCCUACGGGAGGCAGCAGUGGGGAAUCUUCCGCAAUGGACGAAAGUCUGGCGGAGCAACGCCGCGGGGGUGAUGACGGCCUUCGGGUUGGAAAGCUCUGUUAAUCGGGACGCGGUACCGGAAUAGAAAGCCACGGCUAACUACGUGCCAGCAGCCGCGGUAAUAC